UAAAACAUUUAAACUUUGACUUUUCUAAAAAACAUGUACUCCCCUCUAUUCUUCGCCGAAAGGCCUAUGCCCAGGCCUUCAACCACCCAAAAGUCGCCUGCGACCAGCGAAACAAGGCCCUCUUGACGGCGCAAACACGAUGUGCAGUAAGUCUCUCUCCUUCUCUCCUAUUUUUUAACUCGUAUUGUGGAUCCGAAUGGGAAGAAAAAAAAUAAAAAAGAAGAAACAAAAUAAAAUCACAUUUGAAAAUAUUCCUUGGUGGUUUUCCACUGAUUCUUGCGUAAGAUUUGUAUAUAAACUGUAACAAUUUCUCCGAAAAAAUAAGAAUAAAAUCAACUCCCAUUUACAAUCGUUUUCGGAGGCUUUUAUAGCCCUUUUUUUUACAACUGAUUCUUGCUUGCUUGCAGGUGCGUGAUCGAGCACGUUUCUGACGUGGAGUGGUGGCGUUGCGCACGUCACGGGGUGGUGGCGUCCAGCGCGCGAUGUACUUGCUGAAGCAGCGCUAAAGGACUUGGGGGCUAGGGUUGCAAACUUGCCAAAAUUGUUUUAGGCUUGUGGGCCAAUUGGGCCGUAGGUUUUAGUUUGGGUUUGUUUUUGUUGGGUGUUGGGCUGUUUGGGUAGUGUUUUUAUUUAGUUUUGUAUGUGUGUGGGCCUGGGCCUAAAUUGGGCUUAACAGCUGCCUCUCUUUGCUCGUUGUCAUGUAAUGGGAACGAAGCAAAGAUUACAAAGGCCAAUUUUGCCCGGUCCUGUCAGAUAUUGGCUUCCUGGUGUAACCUUAUCGCAACCCACUGCAUCCUAUUGCUUCCAAAUGCCUCAUAGCUGUUCCAUGAAGAUACAAUUUGUUGAAACUUUAUUUGCUCCGCUCUUGCUCAACGAAUAUAAGAUCUGUAAUUUUAGCCUGUUACCCUACUGUUUAGGGGGUUAAGGCAGGUCUUUGACCUGCUCCACCACUGUUCGGAGAGCCAGGAUCUAUAAAUUUUAGCCUGUUACCCUACUGCUUAGGGGGUUACGGCGAGUAUCUUUGAUCUGCUCCACUAUUGCUCAGGGAGAUAAGAUCUGUAAUCUUCAACUUGUUACCCUAUUGCUUAGGGAGUUAAAGCCUGCAAUCUUCAGUUUGUUACCCUAUUGCUUAGGGAGUUAAAGCCUGCAAUCUUCAGUUUGUUACCCUAUUGCUUAGGGAGUUAAAGCCUGCUGUUUUCGAUCUGCCCCGGUAUUGCUUAAUGAGAUAAGAUCUGUAAUUUUCAGCUUGUUACCCUAUUGCUUAGGGAGUUAAAGCCUGCGGGUUUUCACCUUGGCCCCUUUCCUCCUCAAGCAAAGUACUUCUUAACUGAGUCCGCAUUCACUAGGUUAGGCUGACUCUUGCCAUCCAUUUCAGCUAAUAUUAAUGCUCCUCCAGAAAAAGCCUUUUUCACUACAUAAGGUCCUUCUCAGUUUGGCAUUCAUUUCCCUCUGAAAUCCUUUUGCAUAAGGAGAAUCUUUUUCAAUACUAAGUCCCCCUCAUGGAAUACCCUGGGGUGAACUUUUUUGUUGUAAGUUCGCAUCAUUCUCUUUUGGUACAUUUGACCAUGACGAAUAGCCUUCAGCCUAUUUUUUUUAAUCAAGUUUAGUUUAUCAUAAAAGGAUUGGAUCCAUUCUGCUUCGUCCAAUUUCAGCUCUGAUAAAACUCGAAGAGAAGGGAUUUUGACUUCAAUGGGUAAAACAGCCUCCAUCUCAUAAACCAAUAAGAAAGAUGUUGCCCCCGUAGACGUCCUAACAAAAGUUCGAUAGGCAAAAAGGGCAAACGACAACUUUUCAUGUCAAUCAGUAUAUAAACUGUAACAAUUUCUCUGGAAAAAAUAAGAAUAAAAUCAACCCCCUUUACAAUUGUUUUCGGAGGCUUUUAUAGCCCUUUUUUUACAACUGAUUCUUGUUUGUUUGCAGGUGUGUGAUCGAGCACGUUUCUGUCGUGGAGUGGUGGUGUUGCGCACGUCACGGGGUGGUGGUGUCCGGCGCGCGAUGUACUUGCUGAAGCGGCGCUAAAGGACUUGGGGGCUAGGGUUGCAAACUUGCCAAAAUUGUUUUAGGCUUGUGGGCCAAUUGGGCCGUAGGUUUUAGUUUGGAUCUGUUUUUGUUAGGUGUUAGGCUGUUUGGGUAGUGUUUUUAUUUAGUUUUGUAUGUGUGUGGGCCUGGGUAUAAAUUGAGCUUAACAAAUAUUAUUACAAAAUAUUUAUAAAAUAUACUUUUAUUAUAAAAGUAUAUUUAAAAUUUUAAAAAUAAUUU
rnacentral:lncRNA from 1 species